AGUUGCGGCCGAGAUCGGACCCCGGAGGGCUGCUUUUGUCGCGUAGAGUAAGGCCGAUCUCUGGCCACCGUGCCGGACAGGUGACUGCAGCGUCCUUGUAGGCAGGCUGGCUGGAGUGUCCGGCUUCAGUGGAUGUGGCGGGGAACCGGAGUAGAGGUGUAUGAGUUCUUUCAAAGCAGAACACUGUUGUUUCCACGUUCUGAUCUUUCAGAGAUUAUGAAGGCACAAUUCCUGCCUUUGAUUUGCUUAGUCAAGUGGAGUAGACACAGGUCAAUGGUGGCAGCCACUUAAAUAUUCUAAAGGAGAUUUAUCAACAGUUGCAGGUGAACAUGGCCUUGAGACCUGUCCCCCCCGACCAAGCAUGCACACAGUGGAAGCACCUUAUUAUUCUUUGCGUGUGGGCUGCUGGGUGACACCAGGAAGCACGCAGUCAUAGGUCGUGUUGCAUUUUUCCUAAUCUUGCCAUCAAGCCACAGAUGCCCUCCUGUUCCUUUGUACUCCUUCCCUCCAAGUUUUUCCAUCUCCUGGCCAUAGGUUUUUUGCUAUAGUUUGAAAGAGCCCUGCCACCCCUCACACAGAGAGCAGUGAGAGGCCGAAGAGCAGUGGUGGGAUGAGGAAGAUGCGCGUUUAUUCAACAAACGCUUAGUGUGCACAUGUUAGCCCUAGGGGACUGAGUGAUGAACAAGACAGACACUGUCCUGCCUUCGUGGAAUUUGUCAAGGUCAUUUCAAAAUUAGAGGGAGUAAGUACUGUGAAGGAGAGAACGGGUGGGUAGAAAGAGUGUUCAGUGGGCAAAACCUUACUAGAGUGCCAUGACUAUUGAGAAAACAGGAGAGGCCACAUGACUGCCUGGUGGGUGGCCUCUGGCCUCCUCAGGUCUGUUCUUGGCUGACUAGUGAAAUGUCACGAGUGUGCUGGGGUGGCUGGAGCCACUAACACUUACACAUCUCCUCCCUCCUUCUUCCCCACGUGUGCCAUAGGCCUUGGAGACUCAGAUAUGUUGCAUAUACACAAAUAGACCAGUACAAUCUGACAGCCUGAAAGACCUUUGAGUUUGUUCAGUCUGAGUCUUCAUUUUACAGCCGGGCCUGGAACUGACUGACCCAGCAUCACAUGGGUGGUAGUGCUCAGGAUCCAGGUCAGGUGACCUGAGUGCCAGCACCCCAGCCUGCCAGGUCACAACAGGAGCCAUAAAUGAUGCUGCAUGCAUGGGGCUUGAAUGCCAGGUUCAGCCGGCUGAGGUGUGAGUGGCUGGGUACAGGAGAGACGGGAAGCUGGGCAUCAGAACAGUCUAAUAGAAGGUGACAUGCUUUGGCAUUGAAAUGCCGUUGUGUAUCUUGAGACACCCAGGCUUUUCCAAAGAAAAACAGGGAUGCACAAAUUGACGAAGCUGACAACUGAACGUGUACAGAUGCUGAGAAAUGUCCACGUUGAAAAAUGACAGUUUUGAAUUUUCAUAGUCUAAUAGAAUGCCAAUCUUCCUCGGGGAAACCGUUAUUCUUAUAUCUGGAGUCGUCUUGUUGUGUAGAAAUUCAUACUUAUGCCUGAAGAUUAAAUGUUGAUAGUACAAAGCUUCAGAAAUUAUGUAGAUGGGCCAGUUACAGAACAUUUCAAUUUUCAAAUACUCUUACAACUAUUUUCUUUUAUUAAAAGACGAUCAAAGUAACAGGCCAUUUCUAAAUAUUUCUUUUCUAGAAUGUGUCGUAAGGAACUUAUAUUUUAAGUUUGUUUCUGAACAACCAUUUAACCUAAGAAACUUACAUACAGCAUCAUAAACUCAUAUUGCAUCAAAAUUUCCCCAGAAAUAACAUGUUAAAAAAUUUGGAUUUCAAGGUUCAGGUAUGUAAAUCCCCUGUAAUAAAGGCAUUUGAAACAGG